CCUACGGGAGGCAGCAGUAGGGAAUCUUCCACAAUGGGCGAAAGCCUGAUGGAGCAACGCCGCGUGUGUGAUGAAGGCUUUCGGGUCGUAAAGCACUGUUGUAUGGGAAGAACAGCUAGAGUAGGGAAUGACUUUAGUUUGACGGUACCAUACCAGAAAGGGACGGCUAAAUACGUGCCAGCAGCCGCGGUAAU
rnacentral:rRNA from 1 species